rnacentral:rRNA from 1 species
CGCGUAGGCGGUGCUUUAAAGUGAGAUGUGCAAUCCCCGGGCUUAACCUGGGAACUGCAUCUCAGACUGGAGCGCUAGAGUACUGGAGAGGGUGGUAGAAUUCCACGUGUAGCGGUGAAAUGCGUAGAGAUGUGGAGGAAUACCAGUGGCGAAGGCGGCCACCUGGACAGUAACUGACGCUGAGGCGCGAAAGUGUGGGUAGCAAACAGGAUUAGAUACCCUGGUAGUCCACGCUGUAAACGAUGAACACUUGGUGUGGCGGGAGUUGACCCCUGCCGUGCCGUAGCUAACGCGCUAAGUGUUCCGCCUGGGGAGUACGGUCGCAAGGCUGAA